rnacentral:rRNA from 1 species
GACGAACGCUGGCGGCGUGCUUCAUACAUGCAAGUCGAACGAGAAGCUCACUUCGGUGAGUGGAAAGUGGCGGACGGGUGAGUAAUAUGUAGAGAAUCUGCCCUAGAGAGGGGGACAACAGAGGGAAACUUCUGCUAAUACCCCAUAUGCGCGUAGUUGAGAUACUAUUCGUGAAAGAUUUAUCGCUCUGGGAUGAGUCUGCAUCUGAUUAGCUAGUUGGGGGUGUAAUGGACCACCAAGGCGACGAUCAGUAGCUGGUUUGAGAGGAUGAUCAGCCACAAUGGGACUGAGACACGGCCCAU